rnacentral:lncRNA from 1 species
AUUAUCAGUUAUUAUUAUUUGUUCAAGUAUCCAAGCAAAUAAUGAAUCAUCAGAUGAUCUGUUUAGUAAAAGGUAUGUAUUUAUGGAAGCAGAGAAAUACACAAAGAGUAAGAAAUACUUUCAUAGUGCAACAGUCUAUCAUGGCUGACUAGACAUUCUUUAUCCCAACAACAUUUAGGCCAAGUGAUUCAAAACAACAUUAGCUUUCAGUGCAGUAACCUACAUACGAGCAUGGCAGAGAAACAACAGACAUUCAUUAUUCAGUGAGAGGUGUUUGAACCAUACAUUUCCAUUCAGUAAAAGGUGUUUGAACCAUACAUUUCCAUUCAGUAAAAGGUGUUUGAACCAUACAUUUCCAUUCAGUGAAAGGUGUUUGAUCCAUACAUUUCCAUUCAGUAAAAGGUGUUUGAACCAUACAUUUCCAUUCAGUAAAAGGUGUUUGAUCCAUACAUUUCCAUUCAGUAAAAGGUGUUUGAACCAUACAUUUCCAUUCAGUAAAAGUGUUUGAUCCAUACAUUUCCAUUCAGUAAAAGGUGUUUGUACCAUGUCGUAGAAUUACAACAUUAUGUUAAUCACAUUACUUUAAUAUUAGAAUUUGUUCCUAUAUGAGUACUUUCACAUAUCUUGUUCUUCUGACAGUAGAUAUUUGAUGGCUUGGUGAUAACCUAAGGACUGCAUUUGAUUUUAUGGGGUGGCAGGGUAGCCUAGUGGUUAGAGCAUUGGACUAGUAACUGAAAGGUUGCGAGUUCGAAUCCCCGAGCUCACAUAUCUGUCGUUCUUAACCCACUGUUCCUAGACAGAUAGAAAAUAAUUUGUUCUUAACUGACUUGCCUAGUCAAAUAAAAUAACAUAAAAAUGAGAGCCUACAUGCCUGCCUGUUGUUGCCAGGGAGAACAGAUCUCCAGUUUAUUUAUCCCAUAUGGCAGAUUAAUCCUGGCCUCCAUCAUUCUGAUGCAUUAGUAUUUCUGUAUAAACCUAUACAUCUUGAUGUCUGUUGCAUAAGAGCACAAUGUAUCUUUGUAUUUGUAUUUCUAAUCAAAUCAAAUUGGUCACAUACACAUGGUUAGCAAAUGUGAAUGCGAGUGUAGCGAAAUGCUUGUGCUUCUAGUUCCGACAGUUCAGCAAUAUCUAACAUGUAAUCUAACAAUUCCCCAACAACUACCUAAUUCACACAAAUCUUAGUAAAGAAAUGGAAUAAGAAUAUAUAGAUAGAAAUAUAUGGAUGAGCAAUGACAGAGCGGCAUAGGCAAGAUACAAUAGAUGGUAUAAAAUACAGUAUAUACGUAUGAGAUGAGUAAUUCAAGAUAUGUAAACAUUAUGUAAGUGACGAGAGAUCCAUUAAUUAAAGUGGCCAAUGAUUUUAAGUCUGUAUGAAGGCAACAGUGCUAGUGAUGGCUAAACAUACCAGAUAGUAACAGGUGACUGAAUCAACUGAACAAAGCACCAGUAUAGAGCUGUGAUAACUAGAAUACAGCCUGUCUGGAACCACAGAUACUGUAGAUGACACUGGCACAGGACUGACUGACUCUGUGUGUGUGUGUGUGUGUGUGUGUGUGUGUGUGUGUGUGUGUGUGUGUGUGUGUGUGUGUGUGUGUGUGUGUGUGUGUGUGUGUGUGUGUGUGUGUGUGUGUGUGUCCUGCUCCCAUUUUGACCACACCGUUCUGGUUCCUCAAUCAGUCAUAACAAUAGUAGUAACUCUCAUCCCACUCAGUAAUAAUAAUAGUAGUACCUCUGAUCCCACUCAGUCAUAAUAAUAGUCGUAACUCUGAUCCCACUCAGUCAUAUUAAUAGCAGUAACCCUGAUCCCACUCAGUCAUAAUAAUAGCAGUAACUCUGAUCCCACUCAGUCAUAAUAAUAGUAGUAACUCUGAUCCCACUCAGUCAUAAUAAUAGUAGUAUCUCUGAUCCCACUCAGUCAUAAUAAUAGUAGUAACGCUGAUCCCACUCAGUCAUAAUAAUAGUAGUAACUCUGAUCCCACUCAGUCAUAAUAAUAGUAGUAACUCUGAUCCCACUCAGUCAUAAUAAUAGUAGUAACUCAGUCAUAAUAAUAGUAGUAACUCUGAUCCCACUCAGUCAUAAUAAUAGUAGUACCUCUGAUCCCACUCAGUCAUAAUAAUAGUACUAACUCUGAUCCCACUCAGUCAUAAUAAUAGUAGUAACUGUGAUCCCACUCAGUCAUAAUAAUAGAAGUAACUCUGAUCCCACUCAGUCAUAAUAAUAGUAGUAACUCUGAUCCCACUCAGUCAUAAUAAUAGUAGUAUCUCUGAUCCCACUCAGUCAUAAUAAUAGUAGUAACUCUGAUCCCACUCAGUCAUAAUAAUAGUAGUAACUCAGUCAUAAUAAUAGUAGUAACUCUGAUCCCACUCAGUCAUAACAAAAGUAGUAAGUCUGAUCCCACUCAGUCAUAAUAAUAGUAGUAACUCUGAUCCCACUUUUUUUCUCAAAGCUGACGGGAUGACACGUGUCCUACUAAUAUCAUUACACUCGUAACAACUUAAGUACUACGAAACUUAAACCUCACAGCAAAGUUAAAAAAAUACAUUUAUUUUUUGGUUGACCAAAUUCUGCAUUCUCAUUGACAUCCACACAAAAACUCAUCUUUUGAUUUGAUGAAACAGUGAAAAACGCCACCUGCUGGAGGGAGACAGAUUUUCUGCAGUGUUCCUCUUCUUCUCUGAUAUGAACCAGAAACAAGGAACCAGUGAGACGUCUCACUUCCUCUUCCAUCUCUGAUCUAACUCCAGGAUUGCAACGGGAACGUGUUAUGGUUCUGUGAUCUAUAUAUGGAUCGCAGUGUAAUUCAAAACCAUCCUCGACCCCGCUAUCAGGUCAGCUGUGGCUAAACUUUAAACCGAUAUAGUAGUUUAGAAACAAAACCAACGCGUGUGCAACUAUGAGGGGUUGGCUUAGAUUGUUGAUAACAUGUAAACUAUGUUUAUUGAAAACAUAAAUACAUUUGCACAAUCAGCACUUCUCUCAAAUAAAUUGUUACAGUUGUUGGUUAGCUAGCUAGCGAAUUUGAGCCAUAUUGGUAUGGCCACCGGUACCUCUUUGGGUGUGGGGAUACCGCUAAUACAGGAGAAGUAAAGGCCAGGUGCACUAUUUUGGUUGGGGAAAGAAUAAUUCCUGGGCUGUAGACGGUGGUACUGUAAAGGUCACCGCGUUCAAUGAAUUAGCAAGUCGGUAACGUCAGCGUGUCCUAGUUCCGGUUAGUAUGUGAACAUUUGAAGGAGGCAUAAAGUAGCUGAAACCAGUCACUUUCGAUUCCCCACAUGGCAGUUUCUUGUCAUUGUUGGUAGCUAGCUAUCUGGCCAAGCAUCGGUAUCGUGACGUUUUCAGCUAACCCAUAUAUGGAGUGGCCAAGUGUGUGAACAAUCAUUUUAAAAGGUUCAUGGUUAUCCUUUGCUGUCCACAAGCAUUGGUUCUCAUAAAAAUAAAUAGCCUAGAUGUUAUUUUAUAUGAACCAUAGAUUUGUCCUCGUGUCCUAUGAGAAUUAAAAGCACUGGGUUGUAAUGACAGGCGUGAACCCUCAACCUUCUGGCCCGUAGCCCCGCAGAAAUAGACUGUGCCACAAAGGCAUGCUCAAGUGGAAGAGUCAAUAUCCUCACUUAUACACCAGGCUCGCUACAGUAUUUAAUAUGAGUAAGCAUAGGAUAAGAUUCGGUAACAGUAGCUUAGUCACUGCAGCCUAAUGUAAAUAUAAAUGCAUUAGCCAACUCCUUUCUAUACAGAAAUAAAUACAAUCCUAAAAAAACAUCACCAGAGACUAAGACUCAGACACAGUGUUACGGCUUCUAGGGAUAGUGGGUGGAGGAGUCAGGCGCAGAGAGCAGGUUAGUUACGAACGUGGAUCUUUAUUCCAAAGACAGUGAAAAAAUAGAGACCACAAAAUAAUCCAACACCAUAAACAGAGAACAAGCCCGCACAAUAGCCCGCGGGCCUAGUGCCCUUAAACAGCCUACAAACAAAACUAAACUCAAAACAGGUGUAACCAAUUAGACCAAACUAACAGAAACAAAAUAAAGGGAAUCGAUGGCAGCUAGUAGGCCGGCGAUGACGACCGCCGAGUGCCCUGCCCGAACAGGAAGAGGCACCAUCUUCGAC